GGAGCACGCUUAGGCGUGUGACUGCGUACCUUUUGUAUAAUGGGUCAGCGACUUAUAUUCUGUAGCAAGGUUAACCGAAUAGGGGAGCCGAAGGGAAACCGAGUCUUAACUGGGCGUUAAGUUGCAGGGUAUAGACCCGAAACCCGGUGAUCUAGCCAUGGGCAGGUUGAAGGUUGGGUAACACUAACUGGAGGACCGAACCGACUAAUGUUGAAAAAUUAGCGGAUGACUUGUGGCUGGGGGUGAAAGGCCAAUCAAACCGGGAGAUAGCUGGUUCUCCCCGAAAGCUAUUUAGGUAGCGCCUCGUGAAUUCAUCUCCGGGGGUAGAGCACUGUUUCGGCAAGGGGGUCAUCCCGACUUACCAACCCGAUGCAAACUGCGAAUACCGGAGAAUGUUAUCACGGGAGACACACGGCGGGUGCUAA
rnacentral:rRNA from 1 species